rfam:Spironucleus salmonicida unplaced genomic scaffold scf7180000020621, whole genome shotgun sequence.
GGGCUGGUAGCUCAGUUGGGAGAGCGCAUCCCUAGCAUGGAUGAGGCCCGGGGUUCAAUCCCCCGUUAGUCCA